GGAAUUUUGGACAAUGGGCGAAAGCCUGAUCCAGCAAUGCCGCGUGUAUGAAGAAGGCCUUCGGGUUGUAAAGUACUUUCAGCGGGGAGGAAGGCGGUGAGGUUAAUAACCUCGCCGAUUGACGUUACCCGCAGAAGAAGCACCGGCUAACUCCGUGCCAGCAGCCGCGGUAAUACGGAGGGUGCAAGCGUUAAUCGGAAUUACUGGGCGUAAAGCGCACGCAGGCGGUCUGUCAAGUCGGAUGUGAAAUCCCCGGGCUCAACCUGGGAACUGCAUCCGAAACUGGCAGGCUUGAGUCUCGUAGAGGGGGGUAGAAUUCCAGGUGUAGCGGUGAAAUGCGUAGAGAUCUGGAGGAAUACCGGUGGCGAAGGCGGCCCCCUGGACGAAGACUGACGCUCAGGUGCGAAAGCGUGGGGAGCA
rnacentral:rRNA from 1 species